UACGUAGGGAGCAAGCGUUGUCCGGAAUCAUUGGGCGUAAAGCGCGCGUAGGCGGCCCUGUAAGUCCGUUGUGAAAGUCAAAGGCUCAACCUUUGAAAGCCGAUGGAUACUGCAGGGCUAGAGUCCGGAAGAGGCGAGUGGAAUUCCUGGUGUAGCGGUGAAAUGCGCAGAUAUCAGGAGGAACACCGAUGGCGAAGGCAGCUCGCUGGGACGGUACUGACGCUGAGGCGCGAAAGCGUGGGGAGCAAACAGG
rnacentral:rRNA from 1 species